UACUUUUGUUCUUCAAGUUGAACGUUUUACUUGAAUGAUUUAUUGUACUGUACCGUACCGAAACAAGUGGUUUUCACAUAAUACUUCACUGCCUAGUGGAUAUUGUCUCGGCAGCCUUAAGUAAAUCCGAUGUGUUUACUGGUGAACCUUAACCUUAAGUCUUGCUAUGUUUAAUGCACUACGACACGUCGUAAGAAUAUGUACAGUUGUAUAGAAAAUUACACAGGAAGCCAUUACAAGACAUGGUAAUAUUUGCCACAUAAACGGAGGCUCCAUGGUUGUUAUCUAGACGUGUCAAAUAAAUACCACCAGCUAACCCUCUCCCGAGAGUUGGGUGGUAUGUUGUCGACAUACCUGAGGAAGUAAAGGAAACGUCUUGUCAACAUCAAAUAAUGUAUGACCGGACACAGGAAAUCGGGAAUGGACAGUGACUUUGGGUGUUGCCUGAGGCUAAAGGACCAAUGAUAAUUGAAUAUUCGAAUGAGUAGGGUGGAGCCAGAUCCCCUACAUAUACCCAGAAUAUCCAAGGAAACAAAGGAGAACAGAAAAGAAGGAAAAAGACACAGCAGAGAAGAAGGAACACUGAGAUAUCCCGAUCGGAACUCCAGCACACAGUAUAGUCCUAUAGUCGGAAAGACUUAAGAUAAAUGUGAAUCUUCUUCAGAAAGCUGUUGACUGGAAACCUUCCUGAAUUAAUAAGGAAGAAGACUUUUGGUUUCACUAAUUUCUUGACUUGAAUCAGAAGAACAAAUACCGGUACCAAGUGCAACCAGGCGAUUGCAAGUGGAAGCGAUUUUGGACAUCUUCCGGAACUGAACUUUGUUACGUCAUUGGAACUCGCUGUUUUGCCGUAUAUUCUGAACUCUAUUUUUGUUGGACUUCUUGCAUUUAUUAUUAUUUUACUUUCUACAAGCGUACGCUGCAUUGCCGACGGUCUCACGUGAGUAGUUUGUUAGGUUAGGUUAGGUCGAAUUUAUAAGUCCCUAUUGUAAUCCCCAUAGCCCAAUAAAUCAUUAUUAAGUAUAUAACUA
rnacentral:misc_RNA from 1 species